rnacentral:rRNA from 1 species
UACGUAGGGUGCAAGCGUUGUCCGGAAUUAUUGGGCGUAAAGAGCUCGUAGGCGGUUUGUCGCGUCGGCUGUGAAAACUUGGGGCUCAACCCCGGGCCUGCAGCCGAUACGGGCAAACUAGAAUUCGGUAGGGGAGACUGGAAUUCCUGGUGUAGCGGUGAAAUGCGCAGAUAUCAGGAGGAACACCGGUGGCGAAGGCGGGUCUCUGGGCCGAUAUUGACGCUGAGGAGCGAAAGCGUGGGGAGCAAACAGG